rnacentral:tRNA from 2 species
UGCCUCCUUAGCUCAGCUGGCAGAGCAGCGGACUCUUAAUCCGUGGGUCACAGGUUCGAUCCCUGUAGGGGGCAUAUA